rnacentral:misc_RNA from 1 species
GUGUUAUAUUUGUUGGCCAGUGACGGUCCAACGAUAUAUCUCACGUUCAUACAAAUCCAUACGAGUUUGUAAUUAACCGGAGAGAGAAAGAGAGUGGAGAGUGAGAGAGAGUUAUAUGCAAAGCACAUGCACUCUCUCUCCCCUCCCCUUCUUCUUUCUUACUCCUUAGAACAGUGCACACGGGUUUAUGGAUGUAUAGUGGAUGCGAGCCGCCAGAGACACACUUAUCGUACGUCUGUAUGGCUGGCCCUUGAAUCUUCACUAAUGAUCCUUCUGCAGGUUCACCUACAGAAA